UCCCGCGCGCGGGCGCAGUGGCUGAGGCGCCCCCCGCCCCCCCCCCCCCCAUCCCCGUGCUCGCGGUGCCGCUUCCCGACAGGCACCGCGGCGGGAGCGCCGGGCCGCAGCCGCUGGCCGCUCUCCUCAGGCUCCGUCCCGUCCCGUCCCGUCCCGCCGGCCCCCUCAGCCGCCGCCGCCGUCAUGCGCCACAGCCUCACCCAGCUGCUGGCGGCCUCCUCCGGCGGAGCGAGCCCCUCGGGCGCCGUCUGGCCGCUAGCCGGCGCGGGGCAGGCCCCGCGAGGGCGGGAUGGCGGCGGGGAAGGGGAUCCGGGCCCCGCGCGGCCCAAGCAACAGCAGCCGCCGCGGCGGGAGGCGGGCGCCUCGGAGCCGCGGCGGCAAGAGAAGGAACCGGAGGCGCCCGGCGGCCCGCUGGAGGUGUGGGAGCAAGAGGACUGGUUCCCGGGGCUGGAGCUGGGAGACCUGCUGGAGGCGGCCCGGCCGGACUGGGACCUGGACGCGGAGCUGAGCGGCUGCUUCUGUGGGGAACCGGAGCCGCCGCCCCCGCCGGGCCAGGGCCAGAGGCCGGCGGCGCCCGGCCGGAGGAACGGCGGGGCCGGGAGCCGGCUGAAGGCGGCGGCGGCGGCGCGGCUGAACCGGCUGAAGAAGAAGCAGUACGUGCUGGGGCUGGAGAGCCGCCUGCAGGGCCUGGCUGCCGAGAACCGGCAGCUGCGGGACCGCAACCGCGGCCUGAGCCGGCGCCUGCGAGAGCUGGAGCGGGAGAGCAGCUACCUGCGGGCCGUGCUGGCUAACCAGAGCGCUCUAGGGCAGCUCCUGAGCCGCCUAGCCGGGAUCCGCGCCGGCGGGCUGCAGCUCGGCACCAGCCUCUUCAGGGACACGGGCAGCCCCCGCCGCCAUCACCACCACCUCCAGCCCGCCGGCGAGAGCGGAGACCACGACUACGCCCUGCCCAGCUCCCGGCCUGCCGGCCUGGAGGAGGCGGCGGCGGCGGCGGUGGUGACGGAGACGGAGGAGGAGUGGGCGGCCGCCGGCGGGAUCUGCCUCCACGUGGACCGGGAUCAGGUGUCGGUGGAGUUCUGCUCCAUCUGUGCUCGGCGGGCGGCGGCCUCCUUCAAAAUGUAGGGUCAAGUACCUGCUGCAAGUACUCGUGGGGUUCUCGCCCCUAGGGGCCUCGCGUCGUGGCGGAGGAAGCAGGCGAUGUUUCUCUUUUAGGUGCUUGCCCUGCCAGGCUCCGUUGUGUAGGGGUUAAAGAACAGUCGUUUUCCACCUCGCAACCUGGUAAGGAUCAAUAUAUUCCCAUAAUGCGGUAUCAGACAGCUUGCUUUGCUUAUGCCAGUCUCUUGUAAUGACUGGUUCAGGAAAUGAUUUCUCUGGUCCUUGGCCUACUCUGCCAAAAUGUUUCUAGCUCUGGAUGAUAACUAAUAGUGAAAAUUACGAUCAUGUCAUUCUAAUUAGCUGUUUUCCUCUUUUCCUUUUUUUAAAUGAAUAUGCACACAGUAGCCAAAACAUGAGCUACCUUUUGAAUUAAGAAAUAAAUGCUUGUGCCGUUUGAAAUAGGAAUUUUCUAUUAAACUAAGGAUCUGAUGAGCUGAAAAGGGAAAAUAUGCUAAUAAGGGGGAUGUGACAUUUACAGCCUUUUAUCAUAGGGGACUGUCCCAAAAGUGUAAGUAAAUUGCUUUUUAAAUGGGAAAAAAAAAAAAAAAAGAAUUUUUGAACUGUUGUUUUAAAAUACUGUCUAGUGUUAGGGAUGCACGGUACCUCUAAAAAGUCCUUCUCUGGCUUGCUCUCAUUCAUGAUGCGGAGUUUUGCCUGAUUAAACAGAACCUGAACACUGGUUAUAUCUGUACAGUGGAACCCUAAUAUAGAGGAGUCAUUUUUUUGCAUGGACCUCUAACGAGAAUUGUGGUUUGAUGAAUGCAGUGCAUUGAAGUAACUCGUUACUUUAGCUUCCCAUAAGUAAAUCUCUGUGCCCAUGCACACUGAAAUUCCUGUGUUACUUCAAAGUAGCUUUAAAUUUUAAAGAUAUUGCAUGUAUAUGCAUGUGCUUAAUUUUACUGUAGAGUUCUUAAUUUAGCCUCUUACAGUAUCCAGAAAUCUAUAACUUUAUAUAAUUAAGCACAGUUUGGAGAUGAGCAAAUACGUAUUUGGAGGCUAAUGAUUUGAAAAAUGCUCCAUAAUUAACUGAGAUGGGAGGAAAAAUAGUUUGACAAACAGUAGCGUGUGUUUUCUUGUACUAGUCAGUGUUUCUCCCUAUCACAAAAGAUGAGUGGGUUGUUUUUUCAGUUGUAUUAUAAUGUUUAGGUUGUUUAUAUGUAUGUCAGUUGGGGGAAGAAGGAUUGUGAAAAUGAUAAUAUGUAAAGUGAGGUUUCACAAAGAAUAGACUUUCCUAAAACAGUUUCGUUUAUUAACUUCUUUAAAAAAAAGAUUCUAUCUAGUGUUUCUGAAGUCUUGUUUCUUAAAGCCUUAAAUGUUAUGUUUAAGGCUAAGUAGAAUGUGAAGCGUUUUCUCCCAGUCAUUUGCUUUAUUGGUGCUAGACCCUAUCAAGUGUUCAUCAGUUUAAAAGGAGUUUGAUUUUUCUUUGUGAAACAUCACUGUGUGAUAAAGUAUAUGUGUAUUUAGCAUCCUUGUUUUUCUUUAUGCUAAAGUGGAUUCAGCUGUGUUGGGGCAGAAGAGACGGGACCAGCUGCUGGCCACAUUUCCUGCUUUAUUUUAAAAGGUAGUAUAAGAAAUGAGAAUAAAGAGGUAACAGGGCUUUUGCUGUCUUUGGUUGAAAAAAAAAAAAAAAAAAAAAGGUUGAAUGCUGGGAUCAUUUACUGUCAUCCAAGAUGGUUUUUUUAAAAGACAAUGUCCUAUCAAACAGGUUUCACUCCACUGUAUGCAGAAUUCCAUCUGUUCAGGGUAUAUUGCCAGCACAAAAGAGACUUAGUGGGCUAUGUGUUACCUUACACCUCUGUGGUGGCGUCAACAGGACUGUUCAAAGUUUCAGUCUUAAAUUGUGUAACCCUGCUGUAAUUGAUGGGUUAUACCAGUGCCACAGGAAUCAGAGUUAACCAUCAAGACCCGUACUGACUGAUACGCAAAAUGGAAAUAAUUGAGUUAGAUUCAACCUAGGCUCAAUCUGCCUAGCUCAGACUUCAUGAACAUGCUUUAUUUUGAAGUUCAACAUGCUUGAUGAAACGAGAAACACUAAUGUAGCACGUAUGAGAUGUUACAAUGGCAUUUUUACAGUUACUUCAGUGUAGAAGUGUUUUUUAAGUUAACUUAAAUAUGCAUUCUUUCUUUUUGCAUUACUGCUAAAUGGUAGGGGUCAGGGACGUAGUUCUGGUCUCUGUUGUGAACCUGCGCAUCGCUCUAGUCAUGAAACUACCUGUGAGCUGUGUCUGAGAGUAGCUGAUUUUCUGACAUGCAAAAUGAUGUAUACUGGUACAAGAACAAGGUCAAGUCCCAAGAAAGUAAGUGGCUGCAGGCAUUUCUAGUGCCUACUGAAUCUUAUUUAAACCAAAUAGAGGGGAGGAAGUUAUUUGAAACUCUAACCGACUGUACUAUCUGUAUGGUGUAUUAUUAAUGUAGCUUUUUGAAGUGGAAGCCUUGAAAUGACAUAACUUAAUACUUGAAAAUAUAUUGUAAAUGUUUCUUUGUAAUUAUGUGCCAUCCAGAUAAGAAUACGAUAUCAUAAUAAAAUCAGACUUGUUGAUCUUUCAA